rnacentral:lncRNA from 1 species
AUUUUUUGUAAGUAAGGCUGUGAAAUAAGCUCUGUUAAGAGAUUAGGGUAACCUGCCGGUGUUUACCUUUAAAACAGGUGGCGCUGGCAAAUGACCCUUUACACCUGCUAGGAUAGACAGAUAGCAAUUUCAAACAUUACUAGUCCAUUUAGAGCCAUAUGCCUGCUGUUCAAAUAUCAUCACCUAAGUAGAUCAAAGAGCAACAUUAAGUUCAUGCUUUAUUUUUUUUUAUUUAAUAGUUAUAUGCACAAAACACUUUACACAAUAUCUCCUUGUAACAAAGCCUCUACAAUUUGUAAAUGUAUCAUUCUGUCUCAGAUAAUAUUUGUUUAGAAUGGUUAUACUUUUUACUCAAUCUAUGAAUGUGAACUUAAAGGAAAGGAACACUAUAGUCACCUAAAUUACUUUAGCUAAAUAAAGCAGUUUUAGUGUAUAGAUCAUUCCCCUGCAAUUUCACUGCUCAAUUCACUGUCAUUUAGGAGUUAAAUCACUUUGUUUCUGUUUAUGCAGCCCUAGCCACACCUCCCCUGGCUAUGAUUGACAGAGCCUGCAUGAAAAAAAAACUGGUUUCACUUUCAAACAGAUGUAAUUUACCUUAAAUAAUUAUAUCUCAAUCUCUAAAUUGAACUUUAAUCACAUACAGGAGGCUCUUGCAGGGUCUAGCAAGCUAUUAACAUAGCAGGGGAUAAGAAAAUCUGAAUUAAACAGAACUUGCAAUAAAAGCCUAAAUAGGGCUCUCUUUACAGGAAGUGUUUAUGGAAGGCUGUGCAAGUCACAUGCAGGGAGGUGCAGGGGGCAUGUUCUAUACACCAAAACAGCUUCAUUAAGCUAAAGUUGUUCAGGCGACUAUGGUGUCCCUUUAGAGAACAGAGUUAUUUUCUUGUUGUCUUAUAAGGUAACAAGGCUGUGCUCAGGUUAGGAAGCAAGAUAUGAAGUGUGACUGAUUGAGCAACAACGGUAUUACAAAGGAACUUAGAAUAAAGGUUUGCACUUUCUUGCCAACAGACAUUGUAACGUAGGUUUAUCUUUUAGUAUAUAUUGAGAUUCUACAUAGGAGAGCCAUACAGACUCCUAUGCAUGUGGUUCUGACAAUGUUGUACCAAGCUGUAAAUAAAUAAAGAGAUAGAAGCCAAUGUCUGACUGGGCUCAAUUUCAAGUUCUAAGCUACUUGCUAUGCCUUUAUUUACUAACCACUGCUAUUCUCUUCUCACAAUGCAAUUGCAUAGAAUAAGUAUGCUGAGACACCCUGUCCACAAAUCACUUGAAAAAAAGAUUCUGCUAGCAAAUGGUGCAGGUUAGAGUUGAUUCUCUGUAUUAUUAUUUAUAAAGCGCCAACAAGUUCCAUAGCGCUGGACUAACAGACAUGUAUUUGUAACCAGACAAGUUUGACGCACAGGAGAAAAAAAAAAAAAUGGGAUUGAGGGCCCUGCUCAAUUAGCUUACAUGCUAGAGGGAGUGGGGUGUAGUGACACAAAAGGUAAGGGUAGGGUACAAAAGUAGGUUGCUAGGAUACAGCUGCAGGUGGAUUCCACAAGAAUUGUAGUCAUUACAGUAUGAUGCAAGGUGUAACAUCAAGAAGGAAAAAAAAUAAUGUAAAACCAAAAUCUAGUUACACUAUAUAGAUUAAAUUGUAUGGAAAAAAAAAAAAGUAUAAAAUGAGUUUCUCAACCCCAAUAUGGUUGCUGGGUUCAUGCAAACAGAGAGAUCCUAUGUCAUAAGGUCCUGACAUACAUCAGUAGUUCCCAAAACAGUCCUCAUUGGUCCACCAGCAAUCCAAUAUUUCCCUGUUUUAUGCCAAUGGAGAUACUGACAAAGCCUGGACUGGUUUGGGAAACAAUGAAACACCAUUGUUUAAAUUCCAGGUGCACUACUAGGGGAUCCAGCCUUCUAAUGACCACCAUAUGCCCAAAUCUGCAGAAUAUGCUAUUCUGCCUCAUCCUAGCUGUGGCAGAGGAUACAUCUUAAUUUCUAAGGAAAUCUCAAACCGUCAAGAGCCCAGGAAAUCAUUACCAGCUUGAAACUAUCACUGCACGUUCAAUCAUUCGAGCCAAAAAUAUAUAUAUUUUUAAAUAAAUUGUGCAGUGUCUGACCAGAUGAAAUGCAAAAUAUAUUAUAUUCUGCUCCAUUGAACUUUUUUUUGCACUGUUAACCUAAUUUAACAGCCUCUGUCUUACCAGUCAUAGGCUCUAUAUUCUGUUGUUGAAUCAGGUUCUCUCUCACUUUUUCUAUGAUGGAUUGUUCCCACCAGGGAUGUCCUCUAUUCCACAAUAUUAGUCAGACCACUACUCACAUUAGUCACAAGUAAGCAUACUGCCAAACCAGUCACCAUAUAAAGUGGAACUUAAAGAAAAUGUAGAUUAAUAGUCUUCAUCAAAUCAGCAGCAGUUUUCUAAUUCAUAUCUGUUCUCCAGCAACUAGGCAGAAUUCUUGCUUAAAUGCCGAUACAACCCCACAAUGGUUCAAAACCUUUAAAGGACCACUAUAGGCACCCAGAGCACUUCAGCUCAAUAAGGUUGGAUGGGUGCCAGGUCCCCCUAGUUUUAAUCUUGCAGCUGAAAACAGUUUCAGAGAAACUGCGGUUUACAUUGAGGGUUAAUCCAGCCUCUAGUGGCUGUCUCACUGACAGUCACUAGAGGCAGCUUCUGUAAUCCUCAAUGCAGACAUGCUGGACGUCCAUAGGAAAGCAGAGAGUAAUGCUUUCCUAUGGGCGGUUUGAAUGCGUGCGCAGCUCUGGCCAAAACAGUUUCCAUUUUGGAAAAAUUGAGUUUCCCCCCUUAUCAAAGACAAAAUCUUCCCAGCUUUGGAUAUUGCUUUAUUUGAUUUAUUUUCCAAUACACAAAGUCGGAAGCCAAAUAUGUAUUUUCUACUAUAUUUAUGGCAGUACAUUUAUUGCAAUGGCUUGGAAACAAGUUAACCCUCCACAUUUCAAUUACAUUUUUACAGUCCAUGGCUCACCAAGCUCUGGUAGCAUGAUAAAUAUCUGGCUAUGGUUAUCCUUUCGCUCUUUCUUCUUAAUUAAACCGGGUUUCAUUUUAUGCCUAUUAUGCAUCAAUAUUUGAAUAUUUUAUGGAAAAUGCUAAGGUGGUUUUAUGGAUUACUAUCUACUAAGUUUCCUGAACAUGUUUGAAAGUAAGUGCAGUGCUAGCAGUAAUACAAGUGGUAUUUUUUCCUAUUAAAGAGACACUAUAGUCACCGAGACCACUUCAGCUCAAUAAAAGUGGUCUGGGUGUCAGGUCCCCAGGUUUUAACCCUUCAGAUGUAAACAGUUUACAUUGCAGGGUAAAUCCAGCCUCUAGAGGUUGUCUUCCUGACAGCAGCUUCUGUGACGCUGGAUGCGAAAUUCGCAUCCAGUGUGCAGAACGUCCAAAUUAAAGCAUUGAGAAAUGCUUUCCUAUGAACUGUUUGAAAGCGCGGGUGGCACUUGCCACUCCACUCAGGCGCAGACGUCGGAGGGGGAGGAGAGGUCACCAGUGCCAAGGGAACCUGGCACUGGAUUAAAGUAACUGAAGGGGUUUCAACCCUUUCAGCACCAAGGGAGGGGGACCCUGAGGGUGAGGGGAACCUAAGGGUUGUAUAGUGUCAGGAAAAGGUGUGUUUUCCUGUCACUCUAGUGAUCCUAUAAUACAUAGACAUACCCACAAGUUUUAUGCUUCUAACCUCUUAAGGACAC